rnacentral:tRNA from 1 species
CCGUCGAUAGCUCAGUUGAUAGAGCGGAGGACUGUAGAUCCUUAGGUCGCUGGUUCGAAUCCGGCUCGACGGU